rnacentral:misc_RNA from 1 species
AUGAAAUGCAAGGAUGCUCUUUUUAGAGAUCCGACCCAAUUCAUUCUCCUUUACUCCGUGCACUUUACUGUUUUUUACACCAUUUUUAACACAUAUGAGUUUAAAAGAAUGUAAUCAGUCUCUUAAUUGAGCAAAAUAUAAAUCA